CAGCCACCACUAAGAGAGCGCCCUCGCCUUUUCCUUCUUCUCUCCUGUCCUUUCAUGGGGCUGCUACAUUGUCUGCCUGCUGUGUUCAGACACAUCACAGGCCUUGGACAGGGAUUUUAAAAAUGAACAAUGGCUACCUAUGGCAGUGACUCCAUUCUGGCUCUCAAACGCUUGGAUUGUAUAUGUGAUCACGCUAUUUCUUCAUCAAAGGAAGAGCUGGGAGCCCCUCACCAUCUUUUCAGGCCUCCGAGGUUGUUCUGCCCUCCUGAGUAAGAAGUGGAAAUAUAUAAACAGUCUUUUUGUGCUUGAACUUGAAAGAGGAAUAAGUCAUCUGUACAUGAUCUGUGUUACAGCAAAAUGUAAUUUUUCCCUCUGACAAUGUGUUUGUGGUUCUUGAGUUAUCUUGAUUGCCAAGAGAAAUCUGUUUUGUGUGGCAGGGUUUCCUGACUUUAAAAUGUCACAUGCCACCACUCUCCAGUCCCCCACCCCCACCCCCGACCUCUCAACUAAGUCACAAAUUGACUCACUCUUGGCUAAGUUAAAAAAAUAUAUAAUUUCCUGAAAAUUAAAAGUCUGGUACAACACUA